rnacentral:rRNA from 1 species
UACGGAGGGUGCAAGCGUUAUCCGGAAUUACUGGGUUUAAAGGGUGCGUAGGCGGCUUGAUAAGUCAGAGGUGAAAGCCUAUCGCUUAACGAUAGGAUUGCCUUUGAUACUGUAAAGCUUGAAAGGGGUUGAGGUCAGCAGAAUGUGGCAUGUAGCGGUGAAAUGCAUAGAUAUGCCAUAGAACACCGAUUGCGAAGGCAGCUGGCUGGGCCUACUUUGACGCUGAGGCUCGAAAGCGUGGGGAGCGAACAGG